CCUACGGGUGGCAGCAGUGAGGAAUAUUGGUCAAUGGGCGCGAGCCUGAACCAGCCAAGUAGCGUGAAGGAUGACUGCCCUAAGGGUUGUAAACUUCUUUUAUAAAGGAAUAAAGUGAGGCACGUGUGCCUUUUUGUCUGUACUUUAUGAAUAAGGAUCGGCUAACUCCGUGCCAGCAGCCGCGUUAAUCCGGAGGAUCCGAGCUUUAUCCUGAUUUAUUGGGUUUAAAGGGAGCGUAGAUGGGUUGUUAAGUCAGUUGUGAAAGUUUGCGGCUCAACCGUAAAAUUGCAAUUGAUACUGGCAGUCUUGAGGACAGUUGAGGUAGGCGGAAUGCGUGGUGUAGCGGUGAAAUGCUUAGAUAUCACGAAGAACUCCGAUUGCGAAGGCAGCUUACUAAACUGCCACUGACAUUGAUGCUCGAAAGUGUGGGUAGCAAACAGGAUUAGAUACCCCUGUAGUC
rnacentral:rRNA from 1 species